CUUGACAUUGUACCCAGCCGAUCACCGUAUCUUCUCGCCGCGAUCUCGUGCGCGAACCCGAACUGCGACUGACCUGACAUUUAUAUCAACAGCAUAAUAAUACGUAUAUUGCUGCGAAAUAUUAUUGUUCGUAGACAUACGGGUUUUCUUUCGGAUUCCGGACACAGGUAGAUUAUUAUACGCGGGGGAGGAUCGCCUUGCGAGCAUCCAAUUGUACGGUUAUAGACGGAUGAAAAACACGUACGCUGUACAUUAUAUUGUUUACGGGGUAGAUCGUUUA